rnacentral:rRNA from 1 species
GUGGGACUACCCGCUGAACUUAAGCAUAUCAAUAAGCGGAGGAA